AUGGACCUACGGGGGGCAGCAGUAGGGAAUCUUCCACAAUGGACGAAAGUCUGAUGGAGCAACGCCGCGUGAGUGAAGAAGGGUUUCGGCUCGUAAAGCUCUGGUGGGAGUGAAGAAAGAUAGAGGUAGUAACUGGCCUUUUUUUGACGGUAAUUACUUAGAAAGUCACGGCUAAAUACGUGCCAGCAGCCGCGGAAAUACGUAGGUGGCAAGCGAUGUGCGGAUUUAUUGGGCGUAAAGCGAGUGCAGGCGGGU
rnacentral:rRNA from 1 species